AAGGCCCGGGGCGAUUCCUUUACCUGGCAAGUAACUUUGGAAGGUCGUGCUGGAGCUUUAUGUGCCAUGAGGAGUUUUGUUGCACAUUGUCCUGAGCUCCUAACUGAAGAUGUGAUUAGAAAAUUGAUGACUCCUAUUGAAUGUGCCAUGACUAUGAUGUCACACAUUCCAUCUGUAAUUAAAGCCCACGGAGCUCAUCUGAAAGCUAGUGCUGCAAUGGUCCGCUUAAGACUUUAUGAUAUCUUGGCUUUGUUGCCUCCAAAAACUU